UAGGGAAUCUUCCGCAAUGGGCGAAAGCCUGACGGAGCAACGCCGCGUGAGUGAUGAAGGUCUUCGGAUCGUAAAACUCUGUUAUUAGGGAAGAACAAAUGUGUAAGUAACUAUGCACGUCUUGACGGUACCUAAUCAGAAAGCCACGGCUAACUACGUGCCAGGAGCCGCGGUAAUACGUAAGUGGCAAGCGUUAUCCGGAAUUAUUGGGCGUAAAGCGCGCGCAGGCGGUUUUUUAAGUCUGAUGUGAAAGCCCACGGCUCAACCGUGGAGGGUCAUUGGAAACUGGAAAACUUGAGUGCAGAAGAAGAAAGUGGAAUUCCAUGUGUAGCGGUGAAAUGCGCAGGGAUAUGGAGGAACUCCAGUGGCGAAGGCGACUUUCUGGUCUGUAACUGACGCUGAUGUGCGAAAGCGUGGGGAUCAAACAGG
rnacentral:rRNA from 1 species